CCCCUCCCGGUCGACAAGGUAUAACAUCCCCAUGGACGGAAGGAAUCCCUUCCAGUCAAUGAGAUUGUUUUACCUCAUUGAUCGGAAGGGAUUCCUUCUGUCAAUGAGGAUGUUAUACCUUGUCGACCGGAAGGAN
rnacentral:miRNA from 1 species